AGCGAACGUUAGCGGCGGGCCUAACACAUGCAAGUCGAGCGAGAAAGUGGCUUCGGCCAUCAGUAAAGCGGCGGACGGGUGAGUAACACGUAGGUAAUCUUCCUUCGAGCGGGGGACAACGUUCCGAAAGGGACGCUAAUACCGCAUACGUUUUUUGGGACUCUGGUCCUGAAAAGGAAAGCUAGGUAGCAAUAUCUGGCACUCGAUGAGGAGCCUGCGUCGCAUCAGCUAGUUGGUGGGGUAACGGCCUACCAAGGCGAAGACGCGUAG
rnacentral:rRNA from 1 species